rnacentral:rRNA from 1 species
AUAUAUGCUAAGUGGAAAACGUUGUGAAGGUGCAUAGACAACUAGGAGGUUGGCUCAGAAGCAGCCACCCUUUAAAGAGUGCGUAAUAGCUCACUAGUCGAGUGCUCUUGCGCGGAUAAUGUACCGGGGCUAAGCAUAUUACCGAAACUGUGGAUGCGUAAGCAUGGUAGGAUAGCGUAAUUAACGCGAUGAAGGAUGACCGUAAGGACAUGUUGGAGCGUUAACUAGUGAGAAUUCCGGUAUGAGUAGCGAAAGAUAGGUGAGAAUCCUAUCCACCGAAUGAGUAAGGUUUCCCCCGGAAGGCUCGUCCGCGGGGGGUUAGUCGGGACCUAAGGCGAGGCUGAAAAGCGUAGUCGAUGGACAACAGGUUGAUAUUCCUGUACCGAUAUUUAAUUGCCGAAGGAAGGACGCAGAAGGAUAACACAGGCCACUAUUGGAUGUGGUUUUAAAC